CUGCUGCUGCUGCAUCCGGUGCUUCUGCACCUCGGCGUACAAGCUGUCUCUCUGCUUCUUGGACAUCCGACCAAACUUGACAGCUGGGAAGAGAGAAAGCAACGCACACCGUGAACCAGGCAGAGUUAUCCUCUCUCAAGCUUUCAGGUUUCCAGAACAUCUCAGAGCAAGUCGGCAUAAAAGCAAGUCACCCACACGGCAAAAACAACUUCCUCAAGCUGCCCCCAACCCCCUUGCAAACACACCCUCCCAUUACUUUGUAGUGUUUGAGCCGCCAGGCAGAGAUGCAAAGAUUCAUGGGAUAUACUGGGGCGGAAGCUUCAUCUUUUACUAAGUAUUCUUUCUAUCCCAUACAUAAGAAUCUGGGGCUUCACCGUGAAGCUGUCUAUAGUUCCCAGAACGGUUGGUCCUGAAGUCCCAGGUACAAGCUGUCAUCCUCGCCGCCUCUCAAGUAGCUGAGGCACAAACCGGGGCAUCUUAGCUGGAUCCAUCGUUAAAGUGAUACUUUGCUCUACAAUCAUUUAGCCUCAGAUAUAGAAAACCUGUUUCCUCCACCCAUGCAUUUGUCCCAUGCCAGCUAUGCGAGGCUCACCAUCUCGAGACAUCCCCACGGCCAGGCAUUUCUGCAGCCGACAAUGCUGGCAGCGGUUUCUGCUGGUCCGAUCAAUCAAACAGUUCUUCUGACGAGGACAGGAGUAGGUGGCAUUGCUCUGCUGACUUCUCCUGAAAAAGCCCUGUGAUUCAGUUAUAAAUACGGAACAGUUCUCUACAGGUCAGUGGAUGGCACUCAAAAUCUGCCAUCAGUGUCCUCACCUGCUGCUUUGUGUGAUGACUGGGGUCUGCAUGGACCAAGCCAGGUGCUGUCAAGUAUAUUGGAAGGAUGGCAGCAGUUGGAGAUGCUGAAAUAUUGUGAGCCUGUUCUGUAUCCAUGGCUCCAAGGCCACACCAUACAAACGGUCACAACAGUGAUAAUGAAGAUGCUAUGUGGACUCAAGCGGCACUUUCCAGGAUACUUUUAAGUGCCUCUGAUUCUUGGAAUAUCCUAACAGGUGGGAAGGGCAGGUGUCACGGCUACCUUAUGGAUGAAGUGGAGGGAUUAAAAGACUAAGAUGUGGGCAGGAUCUUGCAUGGAAUAAUUUCAAUUUGAGCUGCAACAGAAGCAUGCAACCAGUUAAUUACAUUUUCUUUUAAACACCUUAUAAAAGUGUUCCCCGAUCAGCAUUUGUAUAGUGAAAACUAAUAACCUGCUAAACAUUAUCCUGCAUUAACUAUUCAUUGCUGAACUGUGAGGGUCCCCCUAGAGCCCUGGACUAAAUUAUGGCUGCUCGUUAUAUAAUAGCUUUCGGGUUAUUAAAAUGGGUCAUUUGAGAAGGUGUUUAAGAGCCCACAAGAAGACUGGAAUCAGCAUUUCAAAGGCUCCCAGAACUGGAGAGUUCGCAGUUUAGGCCUCAGAGCAAAGCAGACACUAAAACGUGUCCCCCCUCCUCCGCCCCCCAU
rnacentral:lncRNA from 1 species